AGAGUUUGAUCCUGGCUCAGAUUGAACGCUGGUGGCAUGCCUUACACAUGCAAGUCGAACGGCAGCACGGGAGCAAUCCUGGUGGCGAGUGGCGAACGGGUGAGUAAUAUAUCGGAACGUACCUUUCAGUGGGGGAUAACGUAGCGAAAGUUACGCUAAUACCGCAUAUUCUGUGAGCAGGAAAGCAGGGGAUCUUAGGACCUUGCGCUGAUUGAGCGGCCGAUAUCAGAUUAGCUAGUUGGUGAGGUAAAGGCUCACCAAGGCGACGAUCUGUAGCGGGUCUGAGAGGAUGAUCCGCCACACUGGAACUGAGACACGGUCCAGACUCCUACGGGAGGCAGCAGUGGGGAAUUUUGGACAAUGGGGGCAACCCUGAUCCAGCCAUGCCGCGUGAGUGAAGAAGGCCUUCGGGUUGUAAAGCUCUUUCAGCCGGGAAGAAAACGCAUGGGUUAAUACCCUGUGUGGAUGACGGUACCGGA
rnacentral:rRNA from 1 species